rnacentral:rRNA from 1 species
UACGUAGGGUGCAAGCGUUAAUCGGAAUUACUGGGCGUAAAGCGUGCGCAGGCGGUGAUGUAAGACAGGUGUGAAAUCCCCGGGCUUAACCUGGGAACUGCAUUUGUGACUGCAUCGCUGGAGUGCGGCAGAGGGGGAUGGAAUUCCGCGUGUAGCAGUGAAAUGCGUAGAUAUGCGGAGGAACACCGAUGGCGAAGGCAAUCCCCUGGGCCUGCACUGACGCUCAUGCACGAAAGCGUGGGGAGCAAACAGGAUU